AAAUAGGUCACACACAAACAUUUACAGCAGAUGGACACCAACAAGUACAGUGUCCCCUCGGCAGAGACAGGGGUGACAACUCUGCUGGGAAAAGUUUUCAAAGAUGGACUUAAUCAGUCAGAACUUGCCGCCGCUUAUGAUGACGUCAGCAAGGAUUACGAUAAGGUGCUUUCUAGAGUUUACACUGUAGACGAGUUCUUCUGUUGCCCCCAUAUGUUUAUUAUCCUCAUGCAAUAUUUACUAAGGAGACGCAUUUUCGCCACAAUGACACUUAUUUUAAUCAUUUUAUCACACGUAAUCUAAUCUUUAACUUUUACCCAUUAAUCUGUACAUUUAAAACUGUCAUUACUAGUAAUCUGUAAAAUUAUUAACUUAUAAUAUUUACACAUUAGUCUGUAAAUUUUUAUUUUUAUACAUAUCAUUUUUGGGCGAUUCCAUCUUAAUAUUGCGAUGGACCACUAUCGUAGAGCAAACCGCCACCCCCGGAAUGGUUACAUCCUGCAAACAGCUACAUAUGUAAUUCGUCUGUUAGGAUCAGAUUGCAAACAAUAAGGGACUCUGGCUAAUGGGAAUUGGUCGUGCUUUCAACUUGUAUCUAUAUCCCAAUUGUCGAUCGUAAAAAAAAAUGAUACCCUAUUACUUUUUUUGAUCUUAACCAAUUUAAGGCAUAUGUUGAGAUUAACAUCAAAAUUAAUAUAAAAUAGUGUGGCUUUCAUACUGAAUGAAAUUAAUAUGGGUACAACAUAUUUGAGCUUAAAUAUUCUUGUUACCAAGUCUACUGUAUUUAUAUGAUAUGACUUAAUAUUUUUGAGCUCAUACAUAAAUUGAGCGAUAAAAUCACUGAUACACAUAGAAUACAUUUCUGUGAUUAUGUAUGGCCCUUGGGUGUCUUGCAGGUUUUAACUAAAAGUGAGUACGUUGCUCAUAGAACAGCAGCAGAGUCCCUCGCAAAGUUAACCAAACCAGAUGAACGACCCCAGAAAACAAUCCUGGACAUCGGCGCCGGAACGGGAUUGGUUGCAGAAGAGUUGACCAAGAUUGGCUUUAAAAUUAUUGAUGCCUUGGAGCCGUCGUCUGGUAUGCUGGAGAAGGCACGAGAGAAAGGAUUGUACCGGAAGUACAUCUGUGAGGCUAUUGGAACAGAACCUUUAAAUAUUCCAUCAGGAUCUUAUGAUAUUGUAACUGUUGUCGGAGGCCAUACGAAAAAUCACAUUCAAAGUGAAGCUCUGGAGGAAAUGAUAAGACUGGUGAAUGCGGAUGGAAUCAUCUGCAUCGUAUCCCGUAUGGAAGGGUUUUACCAAUUUGAGGAAUAUAAAGAUUCAUUCUUCCCGCUCUGUGAUAAACUAGAAAAAGACGGAAAAUGGCAGAAAAUCGAGUGCUCCGAAUGUCCAUUCUGGAAAACUGUUCCAGGGUUGAAGUUUUUGUACAGGGUGUGCUAAAAAUGAAGGAGCUUGAUAAAAAAAUAUUAAUAUAUAACUUCCUUAAGAAGCAUAGGAAUAAAGUUUACCUAUUUUGACAAUACACCUAUCCUAUAAGUGUUUUACUUUUUGAUGCUUUUUAUUGAAAAUGUUGAUAUUAAAUCUGAAAAAUAUUCUAAGCUU
rnacentral:misc_RNA from 1 species